rnacentral:rRNA from 10 species
ACACGACUCUCGGCAACGGAUAUCUCGGCUCUCGCAUCGAUGAAGAACGUAGCGAAAUGCGAUACCUGGUGUGAAUUGCAGAAUCCCGCGAACCAUCGAGUCUUUGAACGCAAGUUGCGCCCGAGGCCAUUCGGCUGAGGGCACGCCUGCCUGGGCGUCACG